rnacentral:lncRNA from 1 species
UUUAAUGAGAUCUAUCUUACAUGGGCUUACAUGUGGAAUUGCAAUUCACAGGAUGACCAGCUCGUCCUUUCUUACUUGGGACCUUUGAGGUUUCAGCAUUGAAGAUCUCAUAUCCCGAGAAAAUCAUCACAGUGGGUCUUUCCUCUCCUACAUCCUGAAUAUUAUAAAGAAGAAGAGUAAUCCAUAAAAUUAAAAGUUAAAGGACAAGGAUGUAUGCACAAUUGUUCUUUUAGGACUCAGUUCAGCCCACAGAUGUCUCCACAGCUGCUCUCUAUUCCAAAGAGGAUUUUUUUUCCUUGGAAGCAGUCAUAUUAUGAG